rnacentral:rRNA from 1 species
AUUGAACGCUGGCGGCAGGCCUAACACAUGCAAGUCGAGCGAGCGGCGGACGGGUGAGUAAUGUAUGGGGACUGCCCGAUAGAGGGGGAUAACUGCUAGAAACGGUCGCUAAUACCGCAUACUAUCGGAUAACCCAUAUGGGAUUAGCUAGUAGGUGGGGUAACGGCUCACUUAGGCGACGAUCUCUAGCUGGUCUGAGAGGAUGAUCGUCCACACUGGGACUGAGACCAGGCCCAGACUCCUCCGGAGGCAGCAGUGGGGAACAGUGCACAAUGGGCGCAAGCCUGAUGCAGCCAUGACGCGUGUAUGAAGAAGGCCUCAGGGUUGUAAAGUACGUUCAGCGGGGAGGCGGUACCCGCAGAAGAAGCACCGGCUAACGCCGUGCCAGCAGCCGCGGUAAUUC